CGCAGCGCCGGCUCUGCAGGACAGGCAGGAGUCGGUGCGGGUCGGUGCUUCCUCCUCGUCCUCCUGCGCUUCACCCUCACCCUGCGCCGGACGCCCAUCCAGGGAGAUGUUGAAAAUCUCCAAAAUUGUGCUGCAUAUGAGGCUGCUAAACAAGAAUGACAAUCAACAAUCUUGAAUCUUCCAAACACGAGGAACUCUGCAGAUGCUGGAAAUUCAGGCAACACACAUCAAAGUUGCUGGUGAACGCAGCAGGCCAGGCAGCAUCUCUAGGAAGAGGUAAAGUCGACGUUUCGGGCCGAGACCCUUCGUCAGAACUAACUGAAGGAAGAGCUAGUAAGAGAUUUGAAAGUGGUAGGGGGAGGGGGAGAUCCAAAAUGAUAGGAGAAGACAGGAAGGGGAGGGAUGGAGCCAAGAGCUGGAAAGUUGAUUGGCAAAAGGGAUAUGAAACUUUCAUCCCUCCACCAACAGCAACUUCUAAGUGUGAUCUUGAAUCUUGAAUGUCCGUCACUGGAAGCUUGAAGAAGCGGCGCCUUAAGGCCCUCACCCCUGGGCACACCCUCUUCUCAUUGCUUUUAUCCUGGGCACGCCCUCUUCUCAUUGCUCAUAUCAGGGAGAAGCUACAGGAGCCUGAAGACUCACACUCAACACUUUAGAAAUGCCAUCAGAUUCUGAACGGUCCAUGAACCCGUCAAGACUACCUCAUGAUUUGUCUUUUGCACCAUUUAUUGAUUUUGUAACUUAUGGUAAUUUUUAAUGUGUCGCACUGUACUGCUGCCACAACACAACAAUUUUCAUGGUAUAUGUCAGUGAUAAUAAACCUGAUUCUGAUUCUGUUAAUUACCUUGGAAAUUUGAGGUUGUGAUGGGAUCACACCAAAAGAUAGGAUGAGGAGCAGGAUACAAUGAAUUUUGGGGUAUCUGACCUGACCAAAAUUUAAAUAGCUACAAGAAUAACUUCCCAGAGAACAUGAGCUGCAAUAUCUUUUGUCUAAAUCCAGCAACACUCCAUUUUUAGCCUCUUAUUCUCUUAACCUCAGAUGUCUGGGUCCAGUUGUACAAGUGGUCAUCACAACUGGGGUCUUCCUUGGUUACAGUGCCUUGUCAGUCCCUCGGUCUCCAGGAGCUGCCUACCUGACCAUUGGAUCUCACUGUGGAUAUCAUCUGACCAAUCCACUAGAGAUGCCUUUGCAUGUCCCUAUCUCAUUGGGCUAUGAGGCCCAUCGCUACCCCAGUGUGGCCACUGUCACUUGCAAACAGCUACAUGGAGCCACAUUUGAGAGCUGAGUGUCUGGUGGGGACCAAGUGUGAGUGAGCUGCCCUACAAUUGGCACAGCAAGCCUCUUUACCAAAGGUCUUCUCUCUGGACAACCUAUUUUAUAGAUACAGAGUAGUACAAGAGGAAUUUUAUGGUAGUAGCUUGUCAUUGGAAACAAAGAAUAAUUAUUCACCAUGGUAUGUCAAAACACAAGUGAAUCACUGAACCCACAGCUGGAUGUUGUGCUCCAAUAAGGCACCAAAAGUGAAAUGGUCGCAAUCUACGUCUGUUCGAUUCUUGGUUGAAGCAUAGUUUAAGGGUGAAUCAUAUUUAAUUCUAUAUUUUAUUUAAAAAAUGGGCAGUAUUAAAAUGUAAUGCAAGGAUAAAAAAAAACAUUACGGGAAUCAUAUAUGGGCCUCCAAAUAGUAGCCAAGAUGUAGGGUUGAGAUUACAAAGGGAGCUGGAAAAGAUAUGUAAUAAGGGUAAUGACACAACUGUAAUGAGGUAC